GGUAUGGGAUGAGCUUGCGUCCGAUUAGCUAGUUGGCGGGGCAACGGCCCACCAAGGUGACGAUCGGUAGCCGGCCUGAGAGGGUGAUCGGCCACAUUGGGAAUGAGAUACGGCCCAGACUCCUACGGGAGGCAGCAGUAGGGAAUAUUGCACAAUGGGGGAAACCCUGAUGCAGCAACGCCACGUGUGGGAAGAAGCAUUUCGGUGUGUAAACCACUGUCGUGAGGGAAUAAGGCAUUUUUUCGGAGAUGUUGAAUGUACCUCGAGAGGAAGCACCGGCAAACUUCGUGCCAGCAGCCGCGGUAAUACGAGGGGUGCAAGCGUUGUUCGGAAUCACUGGGCGUAAAGGGAGCGCAGGCGGAAGCUCAAGCGGAUUGUACAAUACCGGGGCCCAGCCCCGGACCUGCAGUCCGAACUGGCUUUCUUGGAUAGUUCAGGGGCAGGC
rnacentral:rRNA from 1 species